rnacentral:rRNA from 1 species
AUUGAACGCUGGCGGCAUGCUUUACACAUGCAAGUCGAACGGUAACAGGUCUUUCGGGAUGCUGACGAGUGGCGAACGGGUGAGUAAUGUAUCGGAGCGUGCCCAGUAGUGGGGGAUAACUACUCGAAAGAGUGGCUAAUACCGCAUGAGAUCUCUGGAUGAAAGCGGGGGACCGUAAGGCCUCGCGCUACUGGAGCGGCCGAUAUCAGAUUAGGUAGUUGGUGGGGUAAAGGCCUACCAAGCCUGCGAUCUGUAGCUGGUCUGAGAGGACGACCAGCCACACUGGGACUGAGACACGGCCCAGACUCCUACGGGAGGCAGCAGUGGGGAAUUUUGGACAAUGGGCGCAAGCCUGAUCCAGCAAUGCCGCGUGCAGGACGAAGGCCUUCGGGUUGUAACUAGCUUUUGUACGGAACGAAAGACCUUCUUCUAAUACAGGAGGGUCAUGACGGUACCGUAAGAAUAAGCACCGGCUAACUACGUGCCAGCAGCCG